rnacentral:rRNA from 1 species
UUUCCCUACGGGGGGCAGCAGUAGGGAAUUUUCCACAAUGGGCGAAAGCCUGAUGGAGCAACGCCGCGAGGGUGAAGAAGGUCUUCGGAUCGUAAAACCCUGUUGUUAGAGAAGAAAGUGCGUGAGAGUAACUGUUCACGUUUCGACGGUAUCUAACCAGAAAGCCACGGCUAACUACGUGCCAGCAGCAGCGGUAAUACGUAGGCGGCAAGCGUUAUCAGGAUUUAUUGGGCGUAAAGGGAAAGCAGGCGGUCUUUUAGGUCUGAUGGGAAAGCCUUCGGCUUAACAGGAG